GACGAACGCUGGCGGCGUGCUUAACACAUGCAAGUCGAGCGGUAAGGCCCUUUCGGGGGUACACGAGCGGCGAACGGGUGGGUAACACGUGGGUGACCUGCCCUUAGCUCUGGGAUAAGCCUGGGAAACUGGGUCUAAUACCGGAUAUGACUCCAUGACGCAUGUUGUGGGGUGGAAAGCCCUGUGCGGCUAGGGAUGGGGCCCGCGGCCUAUCAGCUUGUUGGUGGGGUGAUGGCCUACCAAGGCGACGACGGGUAGCCGGCCUGAGAGGGCGACCGGCCACACUGGGACUGAGACACGGCCCAGACUCCUACGGGAGGC
rnacentral:rRNA from 1 species